AGACGUGUGCUCUUCCGAUCUCGCUGGCGGCGCACAUAAGACAUGCAAGUCGAACGGACUUAAUCGAUUCUUUUAGAUUCGAAGCGGUUAGUGGCGGACUGGUGAGUAACACGUAAGCAACCUGCCUGUUAGAGGGGAAUAACAGUGAGAAAUCACUGCUAAAACCGCAUAUGCCGUGAACAUCGCAUGAUGAAAACGGGAAAAGAGCAAUCUGCUAAUAGAUGGGCUUGCGUCUGAUUAGCUAGUUGGUGUGGUAAAGGCAUACCAAGGCAACGAUCAGUAGCCGGACUGAGAGGUUGAACGGCCACAUUGGGACUGAGAUACGGCCCAGACUCCUACGGGAGGCAGCAGUCGGGAAUAUUGCGCAAUGGAGGAAACUCUGACGCAGUGACGCCGCGUAUGGGAAGAAGGUUUUCGGAUUGUAAACCAUUUUAGACAAGGAAGAAACAAGACAGUACUUGUAGAAUAAGCUCCGGCUAACUACGUGCCAGCAGCCGCGGUAAUACGUAGGGAGCAAGCGUUAUCCGGAUUUAUUGGGUGUAAAGGGUGCGUAGACGGGAAGGUAAGUUAGUUGUGAAAUCCCUCGGCUCAACUGAGGAACUGCGACUAAAACUGCUUUUCUUGAGUGCUGGAGAGGAAAGUGGAAUUCCUAGUGUAGCGGUGAAAUGCGUAGAUAUUAGGAGGAACACCAGUGGCGAAGGCGACUUUCUGGACAGUAACUGACGUUGAGGCACGAAAGUGUGGGGAGCAAACAGGAUUAGAUACCCUGGUAGUCCACACCGUAAACGAUGGAUACUAGGUGUAGGGGAUAUUAAGUCUUCUGUGCCGUCGCAAACGCAGUAAGUAUCCCACCUGGGGAGUACGGCCGCAAGGUUGAAACUCAAAGGAAUUGACGGGGGCCCGCACAAGCAGUGGAGUAUGUGGUUUAAUUCGAAGCAACGCGAAGAACCUUACCAGGUCUUGACAU
rnacentral:rRNA from 1 species